rnacentral:rRNA from 1 species
UACGUAGGUGGCGAGCGUUGUCCGGAUUUACUGGGCGUAAAGAGCGCGCAGGCGGUCGUACAAGUCGCGUGUGAAAGCCCCCGGCUCAACUGGGGAGGGGCACGCGAUACUGUUCGACUCGAAGGCAGGAGAGGGAAGCGGAAUUCCAGGUGUAGCGGUGAAAUGCGUAGAUAUCUGGAGGAACACCGGUGGCGAAGGCGGCAUCCUGGACCGGCAUUGACGCUGAGGAGCGAAAGCCAGGGGAGCAAACGGG